GUGGAUAACCUACCUAUAAGACUGGGAUAACUUCGGGAAACCGGAGCUAACACCGGAUAAUAUUUUGAACCGCAUGAUUCAGAAGUGAAAGACGGUCUUGCUGUCACUUAUAGAUGGAUCCGCGCUGCAUUAGCUAGUUGGUAAGGUAACGGCUUACCAAGGCAACGAUGCAUAGCCGACCUGAGAGGGUGAUCGGCCACACUGGAACUGAGACACGGUCCAG
rnacentral:rRNA from 1 species